rnacentral:rRNA from 1 species
AGAAGCGAUNCGGCGACGCAGAGCGGAACUUCAAAGCCUGUCUCAGUUCGGAUUGUAGGCUGCAACUCGCCUACAUGAAGUCGGAAUCGCUAGUAAUCGCGGAUCAGCAUGCCGCGGUGAAUACGUUCCCGGGCCUUGUACACACCGCCCGUCACACCAUGAGAGUUUGUAACACCCAAAGCCGGUGGGGUAACCUUUUGGAGCCAGCCGUCUAAGGUGGGACAGAUGAUUAGGGUGAAGUCGUAACAAGGUAGC